rnacentral:rRNA from 1 species
AUACGUAAGGGCGCAAGCGUUUGUCCGGAAUUAUUGGGCGUAAAGAGCUCGUAGGCGGUUUGUCGCGGUUCUGCUGUGAAAGCCCGGGGCUCAACCCCGGGUCUGCAGUGGGUACGGGCAGACUAGAGUUGCAGUUAGGGGAGACUGGAAUUCCU